rnacentral:lncRNA from 1 species
UGCUCCACAAACAGUUUGGGUAAAAUGUAAAGUGGAAUUGGAAGCUGACUUCCCUCCAUAUUUAAAUAUUUGUCACUCAGGAAAAGAAAUAAGAAAAGUAUUCAAAACGGGACAAGACGCCGGGACCCCAUCUGUUUUUCCAGCUCCGCCUUCCUCCUCCAUGGAGACUGUUCACCAGGCGGUUGUGCGACAGCCCCUGAAGUCCCCCCACAUCUUUCUUGUACUAGAGACUCAAGCUUCCUUCUCAGUCCUGGGAGAAGGAAGACCAUGUGGGACGGAGGACGACGGCACGGCGCCUCUGGUGGCACAGCGCCUCCUCACGGCACAGCGCCUCGUCAGUUUAGUGCCUCCUCACAGCUCAGCGCCUCCCCAAGGCACAGCGCCUCCUCACAGUUCAGCACCUCCCACGGCACAGCGCCUCCUCACAGUUCAGCGCCUCCUCACAGCUCAGCGUCUCCUCACAGCUCAGCGUCUCCUCACAGCGCCUCCCCAUGGCACGGCGCCUCCCCACGGCACGGCGCCUCCCCACGGCACGGCGCCUGAUGGUGUGGGACAAACAACAUCCCUGCCAGGCACUGGUCCCUGAUUCUGGAGCUGCGAACCACCUGGGGGCUUGGUUUGUUCUGGGAAAUAGGACUGGACAGAAGCGUUUGUAAGAGUGUGGGCGGGACCAGGCAGGGGUGGUUAUCCCGAUUUGCUGAUGCUCCUCAUGAAGGCUCCAGACCAGGGGCUGUGAAUCAGGGCCUCAGAACUAUUCAUCUGAAGAAGUCGAAGUCUUAAAUCUGCAAAGCGGGCAAGAAUGGACACACUUGCUGGGUGUGGUGGCUCACGCCUGUAAUCCCAACACUUUGAGAAGCUGAAGCAGGCAGACUGCCUGAGCCCAGGAAUUUGAGAGUGGCCUGGACAACAUAAUGAGACCUCAUCUCCACAAAACAAUAAAAAAUUAGCCAGGUGCGGUGGUGGACGUCUAUAGUCCCAGCUACAUGGGGGGCUGAAGUAGGGACAGAAGUGGGAGGUUUGCUUGAGCCUGGGAGGUUGAGGCUGCAGUGAGCUGGUGUUGCACCACUGCGUUCCAGUCUGGGUGAUGGAGUGAGACCUUGUCUCAGAAAAAAAAAUAAAUAAAUAAAAAAUAAAAGAGUAGAUAGACUGGCUAACUAGCAUCAGUUUUUUUUUUUUUUGCCAUCGAACAGGUGUUAAAUAUCUUUUGUUGAUUAAAAAUAUUACAGUAAAGAAUGGCAUAUUUUUGAUAUUUUGAGUUGAGAAUUCAAAAGUCUUCCAGAAAGCACAAGACGUUGGCCCUCUGACCUCAGAGGAGAGACACAUCAAAGAGAAUUCCCCAUGUGCAGGACUGGAGACUUUCAAUGUCCCUCCCACUCUAAGUUGUAAUUCUGAUCUGUGAUGGCAUCUGUCCAAUAGAGACACAACUACUGGUUAAUUUGGUUAAUUCAGACAAGAUAUAUCAAUUUAUUUGAGGAAAACCCCCAAAGCUUCAUGUGAUUUGUUUGACUAAAUUGUCUAAUUGAUUAAGUUGUAAGAAUUUCUCUGAUUACAUUGGAAGCAGAGUUACCGUUUUUCCUCUCUCUAGAUUUUGAGUUGUCCAUUUUUCCCCAUCCCCGCAAUCAAUGGGAGAGACACUUGUGUUGAUGGUGGCACAGCCAGCGAUCUGACAACCUUCCUCUGUUAGCCCAGAUUUCUGGUCUCCAGCCCUCUCCUGCUAUGGAGUUUUGACUCCAAUUGCAAGUGGCCAUCUCAGAACACAAAUCCCUCAGCUCAUUAGAGAAAAGUGCUUGAUCCGUUUCUUAUUCAAUUGCCAAGAUCAUUUCAUGUGCCCCAGACUUGGCUGAGCUAACUCGAUUUCUACUAGCUUUUCUCCUGGUUUUGAUUAACUUUGAUGCCAUAAUUGCUUAGUUUGGAGUCAUCUGAUGUUACACAAUCUUUAGGCACCUAGUGAUGCUUUGCUGGGAAGAAGCUGUGGUCUCAAUGUGUGCCAGGCCCUGUACCUUUGUCUACCAUGGCCCUGUGAGCUGGGUGCCCUUACCAUCCAAAUUUUCUGCAGCAGAGUGGGCCACAUGCUGAAAGAAGGCCUCACAGGGAGAGCCAGGGUUCAGAUCCUGAGUUGGGCUCCCAGGUCCAGGACCUCAACCACCACGUGAAACUGCCUCUCUGUGCUCAGAUGGGCCCCACUUAAUUUUGAGGGUAUUUUUUAGUCUCUAGAGGUGAUUUUCCUUACACCUCAGCACAUUGUUUUUCUCAUCAUAUUAAUACAUGAUACUUGUAAUAGGCAAAGUGUGUAUGUGUAACAGAAAAUUUUGUACAGAAAAAGCAUGCAGAAAGGAGGCUGGGGAAAGAGACGAUGAUGAUUUAUCAACUGCAGACCUCAAAGUCCAAUAAAAUGAAAAGGAAGCAGCAGCCCAUGAGCUACUAUCUGUGGGGCCGAUGGUGAGAGGGCCGUCUCAGGUGGGACUGCCUGUGCCCUCGGUUCAUCCUACUUACCUGUAAUGCCACAGGGAUGCUAAUUCCUAGGGACAAAAAGGCAGCCCAAACCUAAAACACAAUUCCUGCUUCCUUUGCUGCCCAGACUGAUGAAAUAAAAACCUCUCAAAGAAAACAGACAUCAAGCACCCCAGUGGUCUUUUUACAAAUGCCCGUAGCCCCAUUAUAGAAAUGCUCACACGGCAGGUUACUCAGACAGGCCGGAACAACUAGACUGGACACACAAUGAAGGUUAUUUCUGCCAAGGUGUGUCUUUAACUUUUCAGAUAGGCAGGGGCCAUGGCAAGACGCAGACUCAUGGGCAGAGGCCGGAGGCUGUUUUGUGUUUCCUGGAGCAGCGGUACGGCGGGAAACAUGGAAGAAGCGGCGGGGUGGCCUAGGUGAGUGUUUAGUGAUCUCCAGAAAGUGGAAUAAUUAAUUUGUUAACUAAUGACAUUCGUAUGGAAGAGAUCAGGCCAUGGCUUUUGGUCGAAUACAUUUGAAAAUAUUUUAUCAAAUGCCCUGCUUGCUGUGACUGUCAAGUGCCAUGAGCAGCGAUGUCUAAAGCUGUCAUUGUGAGGCUCGUGGACUCCUCACUGUGCUUCCUACAGAGAAAUAUGCUUCCAGAGAGUAGGAAUAUUUCUCCACACGUGGGUGCACAUACAUGUGCAAGUGUUUGUAUAUAAUAAAUUUAUAGUGUAUUGCAUGUUUAUAUGUGUACAUAUAUAUAAAUGCAUUGAUUAUCAUUCAUAUCUGCAAAUCUGGCUACUCACAUGUAGGUUCCUUGGUCAAGAGUUAUAACCUUAAUAGAUGAAUCUUUAAGAUUGCAAGGCCGAUUAUUUUCUGUUAUUUGAAGUUUUCCUUUUACAAAUAAAGUUUCUUCAAGAAGUCAACAAUAUUUGUAUAGAGUUAAAAUUAGCCUCUUAUUUUAAUGUUUGAUUUUUUAAAGGGUGUGUAACGUCUUUGUCAAGCACCUGUGUGUAGCUGGGCCAUUGCUGCAAAGGGUCCUCACUUCUGGGACUGGAGCUGGUCCUCGUUCCUCAGUGCUUUGAAAAAACCCUCAGUGCAUCUCCAGAAUGGCACCAGAAGAUUAACUGUCAUUAUUUGUCCUCACUUCAAACUCUUCCCAGAGCUUAAUUCUAACAUUUUAUCAUGACUAAAAAUCAUGUGGGGCCCUUGUUAAAAGUGCAGCCCAAGAUAGUAUGGUUUGGUAGCUCUGGGUUAAGUGCCCAGGAGCUACAUUUUAAACAUGACACCCGGCCAAGUCUUACGUGUGUGCGUUACAAUUCAAACUGUGAGGUCUUCUCAGGGGCAAUGGGUUUGUCUUAUUUGUCUCUGUGUGUUCCAGCUACCUGCGCCUGGGGCAGAUAGUACUUACUGAGGAUGUCUGUGAGAUGAAUGGAUGGAUGGAGGGAGGGAAUGAUGGAAGGAGGGAUGGAGGGUGGGAGGGAUGGAUAGAAGGAUGGAGGAAAGAAUGGAGGAAGGGAUGGAGGGAGAUAUGCAGGGAUGGCCGGAGCCAUGAAGCAGAGGCAUGGAACCAGGGAUGAAGGGAAGGCUGGAAGGAGGGAUGAAGGGAGGGAUGAAGGAAGGGAGAGAAGGAGGGAUGAUGGGAGAAAAGGAUAGAGGGGUGGAUGACGGAAGGGAUGGAGGGAAGGAUGGAGGGAGAAAUAGAGGAAGGGAUGGGUAAACAGGGAAGGAGGGUGGGGGGUGAAGGAAUGGGGGAAGGGUAGAAGGACAGAUGGAUGGAUGGAUGGAUGGAGGGUUGGAGGGAGGAAAUGAUG